UUGGGGUGCGACCGCGCCCGCCCGCCGUGCCACAUACCAAACCACGGGUUCCAGAGUCCGUCGGCGGACGGGUGAGUCACGCGUGGGUCACCCGCCGUCUCACCGGGGGAUAACACUUCGAAAUCGGUCGCUCAUCACCGCAUAAGCGCACGGCUCCGCACGGGGCAGCGUGAAAAACUCCGGCGGUAUACGAUGGAUUCCGCGUCUGAUUAGCUAGUUCGGCGGGGUAACGGCUCACCAAGGCAGCGAUCAGUAGCCGACCUGAGAGGGUGGACGGCCACAUUGGGACUGAGACACGGCCCAAACUCCUACGGGAGGCAGCAGUGGGGAAUAUUGCACAAUGGGGGAAACCCUGAUGCAGCGACGCCGCGUGAGUGAAGAAGUAUCUCGGUACGUAAAGCUCUAUCAGCAGGGAAGAAAAUGACGGUACCUGACUAAGAAGCCCCGGCUAACUACGUGCCAGCAGCCGCGGUAAUACGUAGGGGGCAAGCGUUAUCCGGAUUUACUGGGUGUAAAGGGAGCGUAGACGGCAGCACAAGUCUGGAGUGAAAUCCCGGGGCUUAACCCCGGAACUGCUUUGGAAACUGUGCGGCUGGAGUGCAGGAGGGGUAAGCGGAAUUCCUAGUGUAGCGGUGAAAUGCGUAAAUAUUAGGAGGAACACCGGUGGCGAAGGCGGCUUACUGGACUGUAACUGACGUUGAAGCUCCAAAGCGUGGGGAGCAAACAGGAUUAAAUACCCUGGUAAUCCAC
rnacentral:rRNA from 1 species